rnacentral:rRNA from 1 species
GUGAGGAAUAUUGGACAAUGGGCGCAAGCCUGAUCCAGCCAUGCCGCGUGCAGGAAGACGCAUCUAUGGUGUGUAAACUGCUUUUGUACGGGAAGGAACACUCCCUCGUGAGGGAGCUUGACGGUACCGUAAGAAUAAGGAUCGGCUAACUCCGUGCCAGCAGCCGCGGUAAUACGGAGGAUCCAAGCGUUAUCCGGAAUCAUUGGGUUUAAAGGGUCCGUAGGCGGUUUAAUAAGUCAGUGGUGAAAGCCCAUCGCUCAACGAUGGAACGGCCAUUGAUACUGUUAGACUUGAAUUACAAGGAAGUAACUAGAAUAUGUAGUGUAGCGGUGAAAUGCUUAGAUAUUACAUGGAAUACCAAUUGCGAAGGCAGGUUACUACUUGUGGAUUGACGCUGAUGGACGAAAGCGUGGGGAGCGAACAGGAUUAGAAACCCUGGUAGUCC